rnacentral:rRNA from 1 species
GCUUAGGGAGGAGCUUGCGUCACAUUAGUUAGUUGGUGGGGUAAAGGCCUAACAAGACUAUGAUGUGUAGCCGGGCUGAGAGGUUGAACGGCCACAUUGGGACUGAGACACGGCCCAAACUCCUACGGGAGGCAGCAGUAGGGAAUUUUCGGCAAUGGAGGAAACUCUGACCGAGCAACGCCGCGUGAACGAUGAAGUAUUUCGGUACGUAAAGUUCUUUUAUUAGGGAAGAAUAAAUGAUGGAAAAAUCAUUCUGACGGUACCUAAUGAAUAAGCCCCGGCUAACUAUGUGCCAGCAGCCGCGGUAAUACAUAGGGGGCAAGCGUUAUCCGGAAUUAUUGGGCGUAAAGGGUGCGUAGGCGGUUAAAUAAGUUUAUGGUCUAAGUGCAAUGCUCAACAUUGUGAUGCUAUAAAAACUGUUUAGCUAGAGUAAGAUAGAGGCAAGUGGAAUUCCAUGUGUAGUGGUAAAAUGCGUAAAUAUAUGGAGGAACACCAGUAGCGAAGGCGGCUUGCUGGGUCUUUACUGACGCUGAGGCACGAAAGCGUGGGGAGCAAACAGGAUUAGAUACCCUGGUAGUCCACGCCGUAAACGAUGAGUACUAAACGUUGGGUAAAACCAGUGUUGAAGUUAACACAUUAAGUACUCCGCCUGAGUAGUACGUACGCAAGUAUGAAACUUAAAGGAAUUGACGGGACUCCGCACAAGCGGUGGAUCAUGUUGUUUAAUUCGAGGGUACCCGAAAAACCUCACCAGGUCUUGACAUGCUUCUGCAAAGCUGUAGAAACACAGUGGAGGUUAUCAGUUGCACAGGUGGUGCAUGGUUGUCGUCAGCUCGUGUCGUGAGAUGUUGGGUUAAGUCCCGCAACGAGCGCAACCCUUAUUGUUAGUUACCAGCACGUAAUGGUGGGGACUUUAGCAAGACUGCCAGUGAUAAAUUGGAGGAAGGUGGGGACGACGUCAAAUCAUCAUGCCCCUUAUGACCUGGGCUACAAACGUGAUACAAUGGCUGUUACAAAGGGUAGCUGAAGCGCAAGUUUUUGGCGAAUCUCAAAAAAACAGUCUCAGUUCGGAUUGAAGUCUGCAACUCGACUUCAUGAAGUUGGAAUCGCUAGUAAUCGCGAAUCAGCAUGUCGCGGUGAAUACGUUCUCGGGGUUUGUACAAACCGCCCGUCAAACCACGAAAGUAGGUAAUACCCAAAGCCGAUGGCCUAACUUCCUAAGAAGAGGGAACCGUCUAAGGUAGGGUCCAUGAUUGGGGUUCAGUCGUAACAAGGUAUCCGUACCCUAAGGUGGGGAUGGAUCACCUGCUUUCU